UGCCCCUGGUUCAAAAGGUAAGCAUCUGCCCCUGGUUCAAAAGGUAAGCAUCUGCCCCUGGUUCAAAAGGUAAGCAUCUGCCCCUGGUUCAAAAGGUAAGCAUCUGCCCCUGGUUCAAAAGGUAAGCAUCUGCCCCUGGUUCAAAAGGUAAGCAUCUGCCCCUGGUUCAAAAGGUAAGCAUCUGCCCCUGGUUCAAAAGGUAAGCAUCUGCCCCUGGUUCAAAAGGUAAGCAUCUGCCCCUGGUUCAAAAGGUAAGCAUCUGCCCCUGGUUCAAAAGGUAAGCAUCUGCCCCUGGUUCAAAAGGUAAGCAUCUGCCCCUGGUUCAAAAGGUAAGCAUCUGCCCCUGGUUCAAAAGGUAAGCAUCUGCCCCUGGUUCAAAAGGUAAGCAUCUGCCCCUGGUUCAAAAGGUAAGCAUCUGCCCCUGGUUCAAAAGGUAAGCAUCUGCCCCUGGUUCAAAAGGUAAGCAUCUGCCCCUGGUUCAAAAGGUAAGCAUCUGCCCCUGGUUCAAAAGGUAAGCAUCUGCCCCUGGUUUAAAAGGUAAGCAUCUGCCCCUGGUUCAAAAGGUAAGCAUCUGCCCCUGGUUCAAAAGGUUGCAUGUUCAAAUCCAGUGAUAAAAAGUUGGUUUUGAUAUUCUUGUUUUAAGACUAGGCAUCAAAUGCCUAAACUUAACCUUCAACACUUCGGAAUUUGACGUUUGAGAAACAUGAAUGGAUGUCUAAUUCUGAGUCUGAAAUCUUGUUGCAUCACAAGCCUAAAUGUUACAUUGUUUUCCAAAACUAGCUAAAGCAUGCUGUAGAAAGUCACAUGGAU